rnacentral:rRNA from 1 species
UUGGAGGGCAAGUCUGGUGCCAGCAGCCGCGGUAAUUCCAGCUCCAAUAGCGUAUAUUAAAGUUGUUGCAGUUAAAAAGCUCGUAGUUGAAUUUCGGGAUCGACGGGUCGGUCGCGCCUCUGGUGUGUACUGGCCCUGUCGGUUUCUCCCUUCUGACGAACCACGAUGUCAUUAAUUUGGUGUCGUGGGGAAUCAGGACUGUUACUUUGAAAAAAUUAGAGUGUUUAAAGCAGGCUCACGCUUGAAUACAUUAGCAUGGAAUAAUGAAAUAGGACGUUUGAUUCUAUUUUGUUGGUUUCUAAGAUCGACGUAAUGAUUAAUAGGGAUAGUUGGGGGCAUUAGUAUUCAAUUGUCAGAGGUGAAAUUCUUGGAUUUAUUGAAGACUAACUACUGCGAAAGCAUUUGCCAAGGAUGUUUUCAUUAAUCAAGAACGAAAGUUAGGGAUCGAAGACGAUCAGAUACCGUCGUAGUCUUACCAUAAACUAUGCCGACUAGGGAUCGGAUGAUGUUA